rnacentral:rRNA from 1 species
GUCUGAUGGAGCACGCCGCGUGAACGAUGAAGGCUUUCGGGUCGUAAAGUUCUGUUGUAAGGGAAGAACAAGUGCCGCAGGCAAUGGCGGCACCUUGACGGUACCUUGCGAGAAAGCCACGGCUAACUACGUGCCAGCAGCCGCGGUAAUACGUAGGUGGCAAGCGUUGUCCGGAAUUAUUGGGCGUAAAGCGCGCGCAGGCGGCCUCUUAAGUCUGAUGUGAAAGCCCCCGGCUCAACCGGGGAGGGCCAUUGGAAACUGGGAGGCUUGAGUAUAGGAGAGAAGAGUGGAAUUCCACGUGUAGCGGUGAAAUGCGUAGAGAUGUGGAGGAACACCAGUGGCGAAGGCGACUCUUUGGCCUAUAACUGACGCUGAGGCGCGAAAGCGUGGGGAGCAAACAGGAUUAGAUACCCUGGUAGUCCACGCCGUAAACGAUGAGUGCUAGGUGUUGGAGGGUUUCCGCCCUUCAGUGCUGAAGCUAACGCAUUAAGC